GCAGCGGGGGCGCGCGGCGGGCAGGCGAGGGCGCGGCCGGGCACCGCCACGGGCCUCGCCAUGUCCCAGCCGGCGGGUAGGAUGCAUUGCCGAAAGGCGGGGAUCCGCGCUGCGGUGGUGCUCAUCGGACUUCUGCACAAAUCGCGAAAACAGAAUAAAGAGAAAAGGAAGCAGGAGCUGGCCAACAGCCCGGAUGUGACCCUCCCAGACCGGCCGCUGUCCCCCCCUCUCACUGCGCCCCCCACCAUGAAGGUAAGAGGCUUAGCAUGGGGUGGGGCGGGGGGAGAUGUGUGGUCAAGUCUCGGGCCUUCCUGCAGCUUUGGCUCCAGGCCCAGCGGCUCCUGCCCCAGUGGGGACCACCAAAUGCCCUGAUACCUCUGGACGCUGUACCCAAUUAAACUCAUCAGGGACUUAAGUGGGACUGGGAGGCUGAGAGGUGUCUGUGUCAGGGCGGAGCAUAGAGAUAGACAGGUGCUGAAAUGGGGUUGGCAGGAGUCUUGGUCAUUGGCAAGAGGCCUUGUGGAGCA
rnacentral:lncRNA from 1 species